AGGUCGACGAUUUUCGCAAUGCCCGAAAGGGUGACGAAGCGACGCCGCGUGGGUGAGGAAGGCCUUCGGGUUGUAAAACCCUGUCAGGAGUUAAGAAAUGUAAGUUUGAGAAUACCAAAUUUACUUGACAAAAGCUCCAAAGGAAGCCACGGCUAACUCUGUGCCAGCAGCCGCGGUAAUACAGAGGUGGCGAGCGUUGUUCGGAAUUAUUGGGCGUAAAGAGCACGUAGGUGGUUUGCAAGUCAGAUGUGAAAGCCUUCUGUUCAACGGAAGAAUUGCAUCUGAAACUGCUAAUCUUGAGUAUAGGAGGGGAGAAUGAAACUUCUGGUGGAGCGGUGAAAUGCGUAGAUAUCAGAAGGAACGCCGGCGGCGAAAGCGAUUCUCUGGCCUAUUACUGACACUCAGUGUGCGAAAGCUAGGGGAGCAAACGGGAUUAGAUACCCCGGUAGUCCUAGCCGUAAACGAUGGGCACUAAGUAGAGGGGUUUU
rnacentral:rRNA from 1 species